UUUCUAGUUUUCCCAGCAUCAUUUGUUGAAGAGGCUAUGUUUUCUCCUAUGCAUGUUUUUGGCACUGUUGUCUAAUAUAAGAUAAUUGUAAUUUUGUACCAUUACACCCACCUGAUAUUAAACUGAGGAAGUAUAUUAUUAUAAAUUCUAAAGCUUGAUGAUAAAUGGAGUAAGAAAAAUAAAUUGGUGUUAAACUGAAAAUGGAAGCAAGACAGGAUUAAUCUCCCCUCCCCCCAAGUUGGGAAGAUAUAACUAUAUAUUUUUAUGUCUAUAUAAAGGGAAAUGUUAAAAAAUUAUUGAAAUAAGCUGGUGUGUAAUCCCAGAGGUUCAGGAGGCUGAGGCAGUAGAAUUGUGACUUCAAAGCCAGCCUCAGCAACAGCAAUGCACUAAGCAACUUG
rnacentral:lncRNA from 1 species